rnacentral:rRNA from 1 species
CUGGCCUCAAAUCAGGUAGGACUACCCGCUGAACUUAAGCAUAUCAAUAAGCGGAGGAAAAGAAACUAACAAGGAUUCCCCUAGUAACGGCGAGUGAAGCGGGAAGAGCUCAAAUUUGAAAUCUGGUAGCCUUCGGCUGCCCGAGUUGUAAUCUAGAGAAGUGUUUUCCGUGCCGGCCCAUGUACAAGUCCCUUGGAACAGGGCGUCAUAGAGGGUGAGAAUCCCGUCCUUGACAUGGACCCCCGGUGCUUUGUGAUACACUUUCAACGAGUCGAGUUGUUUGGGAAUGCAGCUCAAAAUGGGUGGUGAAUUCCAUCUAAAGCUAAAUAUUGGCGAGAGACCGAUAGCGAACAAGUACCGUGAGGGAAAGAUGAAAAGCACUUUGGAAAGAGAGUUAAACAGUACGUGAAAUUGUUGAAAGGGAAACGAUUGAAGUCAGUCAUGCUCUUUGGAUUCAGCCGUUCUGCGGUGUAUUUCCAUUGAGUGGGGUCAACAUCAGUUUUGACCGCUGGAUAAAGGCACUAGGAAGGUAGCACUCUCGGGUGAACUUAUAGCCUAGCGUCAUAUACAGUGGUUGGGACUGAGGAACGCAGCAUGCCUUUAUGGCCGGGAUUCGUCCACGUACAUGCU